rnacentral:rRNA from 1 species
AUUGGACGCUGGCGGCAGGCCUAACACAUGCAAGUCGAGCGGAGCGGCGGACGGGUGAGUAAUGCCUAGGAAUCUGCCUGGUAGUGGGGGAUAACGUCCGGAAACGGGCGCUAAUACCGCAUACUAUCAGAUGAGCCUAGGUCGGAUUAGCUAGUUGGUGGGGUAAAGGCCUACCAAGGCGACGAUCUGUAGCGGGUCUGAGAGGAUGAUCCGCCACACUGGGACUGAGACACGGCCCAGACUCCUACGGGAGGCAGCAGUGGGGAAUAUUGGACAAUGGGGGGAACCCUGAUCCAGCCAUGCCGCGUGUGUGAAGAAGGCCUUCGGGUUGUAAAGCACUUUCAGCGGGGAGGCGUUACCCGCAGAAGAAGCACCGGCUAACUCCGUGCCAGCAGCCGCGGUAAUUC